AUUGCUUAGCCUUUUGACCAAAUCAGUUGUAGCAUCUGUUCUUACCAGUUUAAUAUGUGAUAUGUACUCUUUCCAAGUACAAUGUAUUAUAUAUAGUGUAAUAGAGCAGGGAAAUGGAAUAGGAGUUUGCUAUACAUUCAUUCCAUGUGUAGACUCAGUAUUGAAGGAAUAGUCCACCCCUU
ensembl:snRNA U2 U2 spliceosomal RNA